CUGCACUUACAAGCUGUGGGAGCACAUUACUUGUGUGACCGCGUACUUUUUGUAGAACGGGCCAACGAGUUACGUUAAGUAGCAAGGUUAAGCACUUAAGGUGUGGAGCCGUAGCGAAAGCGAGUCUUAAAUGGGCGAUUAAGUUACUUGGCGUAGACCCGAAACCGGGCGACCUAUCCAUGAGCAGGUUGAAGCGAAAGUAAAAUUUCGUGGAGGACCGAACCCACGAGCGUUGAAAAGCUCGGGGAUGACUUGUGGAUAGCGGUGAAAUUCCAAUCGAGCCCGGAGAUAGCUGGUUCUCCCCGAAAUAGCUUUAGGGCUAGCCUCAAGCGUAGAGAAACGGAGGUAGAGCACUGAAUGUCCUAGGGGGUAUUGCACUUACCGAAGACUAUCAAACUCCGAAUGCCGUUUUCUUUUACUUGGGAGUCAGACUGUGGGUGAUAAGAUUCAUAGUCAAAAGGGCAACAGCCCAGAUCGUCAGCUAAGGUCCCUAAAUGUACGUUAAGUGGUAAAGGAUGUGGGAUUGCACAGACAACCAGGAUGUUGGCUUAGAAGCAGCCACUCAUUUAAAGAGUGCGUAAUAGCUCACUGGUCGAGUGAUCCUGCGCCGAAAAUUUCCGGGGCUAAAACGUACUACCGAAGCUACGGCAUCAUUUAUGAUGGGUAGGGGAGCUUCGUAUGCAGGCUGAAGCAUGACCGUAAGGACAUGUGGACAGUAUACGAGUGAGAAUGUUGGCAUGAGUAGCGAGACGUGGGUGAGAAUCCCACGGGCCGUAAACCCAAGGUUUCCAGGGGAAGGUUCGUCCGCCCUGGGUUAGUCGGGACCUAAGCCGAGGCCGAAAGGCGUAGGUGAUGGACAACAGGUUGAUAUUCCUGUACCGCCAAUAAGCGUUUGAGAGAUGGAGUGACACAGUAGGAUAAGCUAACCGUACUGUUGGUUAUGUACGGCUAAGCAUUGAGGCAGUCUAAAUAGGCAAAUCCGUUUAGACAAUGCUAGGAUGUGAUGGGGAAGCCCUUCGGGGCGAAGUAGCUGAUUUCACACUGUCAAGAAAAGCUUCUAUCGAGUUUAAAGGCGCCCGUACCGUAAACCGACACAGGUGGGUGAGGAGAGUAUCCUAAGGCCAGCGAGAGAACUAUUGUUAAGGAACUCGGCAAAAUGACCCCGUAACUUAGGGAGAAGGGGUGCCUGUCUAUGACAGGCCGCAGAGAAUAGGCCCAAGCGACUGUUUACCAAAAACACAGGUUUCUGCUAAGUCGCAAGACGAUGUAUAGGAGCUGACGCCUGCCCGGUGCUGGAAGGUUAAGGGGAUCUGUUAGAGCAAUCGAAGCAGUGAACUUAAGCCCCAGUAAACGGCGGCCGUAACUAUAACGGUCCUAAGGUAGCGAAAUUCCUUGUCGGGUAAGUUCCGACCCGCACGAAAGGCGUAACGAUUUGGGCACUGUCUCAACAAUAGACUCGGUGAAAUUGUAAUCCCGGUGAAGAUGCCGGGUACCUGCGACAGGACGGAAAGACCCCAUGGAGCUUUACUGUAGCUUGACGUUGGGUCUUGGUACUACAUGUACAGGAUAGGUGGGAGACUAUGAAGCAUGGACGCCAGUCUGUGUGGAGUCAUCCUUGGGAUACCACCCUUGUAGUACUGGGAUCCUAACCAUAGGCCUUGAAUCAGGUCUUGGAACACCGUCAGGUGGGCAGUUUGACUGGGGCGGUCGCCUCCUAAAAAGUAACGGAGGCGCUCAAAGGUUUCCUCAGCACGGUCGGAAAUCGUGCGAAGAGUGUAAAGGCAAAAGGAAGCUUGAUUGCAAGACAUACAGGUCGAGCAAGGACGAAAGUCGGACUUAGUGAUCCGGUGGUACCGCAUGGAAGGGCCAUCGCUCAACGGAUAAAAGCUACCCUGGGG
rnacentral:rRNA from 1 species